GGGUGCGUAGCCUAACGGUAGGGCACGUGAUUGUGGCUCACGGUAUUCCGGUUCGACUCCGGGCGUUCCCUCCA
rnacentral:tRNA from 1 species